UACGUAGGGGGCGAGCGUUGUUCGGAAUUACUGGGCGUAAAGCGCACGUAGGCGGCUUUCUAAGUCAGGGGUGAAAUCCUGGAGCUCAACUCCAGAACUGCCUUUGAUACUGGGAAGCUCGAGUCCGGAAGAGGUAAGUGGAACUCCGAGUGUAGAGGUGAAAUUCGUAGAUAUUCGGAAGAACACCAGUGGCGAAGGCGGCUUACUGGUCCGGUACUGACGCUGAGGUGCGAAAGCGUGGGGAGCAAACAGG
rnacentral:rRNA from 1 species